rnacentral:lncRNA from 1 species
ACAUUAAAAAAUCUGGAAAAUGGAGAAUAUUACAUGAUCUCAGAUCUAUUAAUUCAGUGAUUCAACCUAUGGGCCAUCCAGCCAUCCAGGAGUCCCCUCCCCAGCUAUGGGCAUUAGGCAUUGAUCAUUAGCCAUUUAAAAGGAUCCUUUUUUAAAAUACCCUUAGCAGAACAAGAUAAAGAAAAGUUUGCCUUAAUCAUCCCUUCUGUUAAUUGUGCCCCUCCAGAAAGUUAUCAAUAGCGAGUUCUCCCUCAGGGAAUGAUUAAGAUCCCAACCAUUUGUCAGCUUGUAGUGGAACAUGCCUUAAAGCCCAUUUAUGAACAGUCUCCUCAAAUAAUGAUUUAUCAUUAUAUGGAUUAUAUUUUAUUUGCCCAUCCAGAAUCAUCUGUCCUUUUAAAGUUAUUAGAAAAAUUGCCACAACACUUUCCAAAAUAUAGCCUACAGAUAGCCCCUGAAAAAGUACAGCGACAACUGACCUGAAACUAUUUAGGACAACAUGUGUUUGCUCAAUGUACUAAACCUCAAAAGUUGACUUUACAGAGUAAUGUAAAAACUCUUAAUGAUGUACAACAAUUGAUGGAAACAAUUAAUUGAGUAUGACCUAUGUUAGGAAUUAAAAAUGAAGAAAUUAAAAAUCUCUCAGUGUUGUUAAAAGAAGAGGACUUAAAUUCCCCUUGAGAGUUAACAUCUUUAGCAAAAAAAGAGUUAAAUUUAACAAAAAAUUAACUCAUACUUAUCAUAGACGUGACCCUUAUUUGCCUCUUGUCUUAUUUAUCCUGCAUAUGGAAGUAUUUUCAGCAGCAUUAAUUGGAUAAAAUAUCAAUCCUAAUAAAUGUGUUGAAUGGGUAUUUCUUUCAUUAACACCUAAACAUACUUUGACUCCCAUAAUUGUAAAUAUUGCAAACCUUUUUUUAAAAGCCAGACAGAAAUCUAUACAAAUAUUAGGACAGGAUAUACAACAAAUCAUUUUUCCUCUUUAAAGAGCAUGUUUCAAAAUUGCUAUUGCCACUUCUAUAGAUCUACAAUAGGCAUUAGCUGAUUUUACAGGAAAGAUAAUUAUCAUCUUCCCAAACAUCCAUUAUUUAAACUUUGUGAAGAACAAUUUUUGGUGCCUGAAGGGAUUAUUAAAACCUUCCCCACUUCAGAUGCUAAAUAUUUGUUUACAGAUGCAUCUGGAAAAACUCAUCACUAUGGAAUUACCUGGUUUGAAAAAGAUUGGAAGUCAGUCAAAGGAACUUCUACAGAUCCACUCAAUAUUUGGAAUUGUUAGCAAUAUUUAAAGCUUUACAAAUGUUUUCCGAUCCAUGCAACAUUAUUAGUGGUUCUCAAUAUGCAGUAAAAUUAAUUCUUCAAUUUCCAAUGACUGAGUGAAAAAUCCCAUUGGAUAAGCAGUUUGCUUUAUUGUUAACUUUAAAAAACCUACUCACUCAGAGACAUGCUCUUUUGUAUACUGGACAUGUCUGGUCUCACACAGACUUGCCCAGUUGGUUACAAGUAGGGAACCAUAAGGCAGAUAAAUUAGUAAGUUUCUGUUCUUUUGAAGAAGCUAAACACUCUCCUAAUCUUUCUCAUGAAAAUUGGAAAUCUCUUAGAAAGAGAUUUGAUCUUGUAGUUCUAGAGGCAAAACAAAUUGUAAGAACUUGCCCUGAUUGUCAAUUGUUUCAUCCUAUAGGUUUUCCUGGAGGAACAAACCCCAGAGUCUUACAGUCUAAUUAGAUAUGGCAAACAUGUUACUCAUUAUCCUAAAUUUGGAAAGGCUAAGUUUAUCCAUGUCUCAAUCAAUACUUAGAGUAGUACCUCCCAUAGUAAAGAAAAUGUCAAAGCAGCGUUUCAGCAUUUAGUUUCAGCUUUUGCACAGUGGGGAAAACCUAAAGAAAUUAAAACAGAUGAUGGACCUGCUUCUAUUAAUAAAACAUUUAAAAAAUUCUGUCAGCUUGGGGAAUAACUCAUAAAACAGGAAUCCCUUACAAUCCACAAGUUCAAGCAAUUGUUGAUCAGGUACAUCUCACACUUAAAAUUUUCCUUAAGAAACAAAAAAGGGGGGGGGAUAAAGCCUGGUGGCCUAAUAUAACACCACAAGCAGCAUUGGAUUUAGCCUUAUAUACUUAUGAUUUUUUAAACUUGAGAGAAGAUACACUUGCCCCAGCUUAAAAACAUUUUUACACUGAAGAAACAAAGUACUCAAGGAUUAAAACCAAAAGCAUAUUUUAGGAAUAUCGUUUCUAAACAGUGGGAAGGGCCCCUUUCACUCUUAACAUGGAGUUGAGGGUAUUCUUGUGUUUCUACAGAUAAUGGACCAUUGUGGGUUCCUGCCAGAGACACCAAGCCUUGUCAUGGAUUGGUGAAAUAUCCCACAAAGGACUCCCCUGAAUCAAUUCCAACUUGUACAGCCAAUGUAGGAGAUGGACUCAGCCUUGCAAUAUUAGAGGAGAAUGGAGAUGAGUGACAUAGUCGCUAACCAGGAGACAAUAGCUACUCAUAAAACAGCUCCUAAUGUCACUUGAGGAGGAAUAAAAAGGUCCACUCAGCAGGCUUAGUGCCAGCUCCAGGAACAAAGGGCACCUAUCGAUCCUGAGUCUAUGUUGCCGGCUAUGACAGCCAUAAUUUCCAUUAACACAAAGGUAGUUUUCUGGGGAAUAUUGCUUAGCUAUUUAACAGGAAAUCUUGGGCAAUAUACUUAUUGGGCACAUGUUAUCUACCCCCCUAUAUUUGAUCUAGUGACUUGGGUGUCCUCAGAAAUUCCUAUAAGUACAAAUGAUUCAUUUGCUGGUGGAAUAGAUUUAAAUCCACAAUACCUGAACGAAAAUGAGCAUUGUGUGAAAGUGAAAAACAAAUGUCACUUUUUUGGAAAAUUCCAUUCCCUCAGUUUGUUUUACAAUAAAAUCUUCGUUGUCGCCCUGCCUAAAAGUAACAAAUCACUAGUUUUUACACGUGUAGGAAAAAGUUGGAAAUGACAAAGCCAAUUUGACUUUUAUUGGAGCAGCUGGAUUUUAUAUACCUAAAGAAACACCAGUGGAGUUCCCAUUGUGGCUCAGUGGUUAAUGAAUCUGACUAGGAACCAUGAGGUUGAGGGUUCGAUUCCUGGCCACACUCGGUGGGUUAAGGUUCCAGCAUUGCUUUGAGCUGUGGCGUAGGUGGCAGACAUGGCUUGGAUCCUGCAUUGCUGUGGCUGUGGCCUAGGCCAGCGGCUACGGCUCCAAUUAGACCCCUAGCCUGGGAACCUCCAUAUGCCAUGGGUGCGGCCCUAGAAGAGACAAAAAAAAAAAAGAAACACCAGAUCAGCCAAUGAUUCAAAGAACAUUUUUUGCUUUGACCAACUGGUUAAACAAUGUAUGUUUUGGUGGCAUGAUGGUCUCUCUGGACCUAUAGCAACAGUUCUUAGGAAAAAUGAAACAUUACCUUGGCGUACUAAGUUAUGGAAAUUGGGUCUUAACUUUUUUCCAUGACAAGUGAGUCAUGGACAAUAUGCAAAAGUAGAAGAGUGUUAUAGUCUCUCUCUUGUAAAUAAUUAUACUUCCUAGAUAACUGUUUGUGUUUCUAAGCCUUAUAUACUUUUUCUUUCUAAAAAUCUGAUCAUAAAAAGGGAGUAUGGUAUAGAUUUUUAUAUAAUUCAAGCCAAAAAUGGAGUUUUUCAUCAUUGCCUUUCUUAUAAAAACAUUAGUGCAUUUAAUAAUUGUAACCUGAUAAUCCUUAAACAAUGUACAUCCUCUUGGAUUUCUGUAAAUUGUUCUGAUCCUUAUAUGCAUCCUUUGGGGGCUGGAUUGUUACAUCAAAUUACUAAAUUUUGGCAGUUAGGAAAAACAACAAAAGGAUUUAUUGGAUGGUUAAUAUUGGGAAUAAUAGCUCUAACUUCUUUGAUAGCUGCAAACUGCACAUCAUCUUAACCAAUUUAUGGUAAAUGCUGCUCAGGAAAUGUUACAACAGACCAACAUUGAUAAACAAGUCCUUUCUCGACUUGAUGCUCUUGAAUCUGCUGUUGAAUAUAUUGGCCAGGAACAAAAGGAUAUGAUUUUUCAAUCUAAGCUACCAUGUGAUCCUCAAAACUCACAUAUUUGUGUGACUUCUCUUGUUUAUAAUCAUUCCCAAUCUUGGACACAAAUUAAAGCUAACUUAAAGGGAGCCUUUGCUGGAAACUUGUCUGAGGAGAUACUAACUCUUGAUGACACUUUAUACCAGCAGUUAUUAGAAGCUCAACAAUGCUUAAAAGACAAAUGGAAAGACUCAUGGCUCUCCUGGUUAGAAAAUAAUCCAUGUGUGCUCCUAAGCAUCCUAAUAAUAAAUACUGGAUAAUUAUAAUAUUUGAAAUUCUUCCUUUGCUAUUUUUCCUUUGUCUCUGCAGGAAGCGCCUGACUAUCCCAUGUCAAAUGACCCAAGAUACGAAGGAUAUUAUGAUGAUUGUGGACACCACACCUCCCAAACUUCUGAGACCUAAGAGGAAUUUAAAAAACAAAAAAAGAGGAACUGUGGGUAGAAGAAAACAGGGCCAUAAGACUCAAGCUUGAAAGCACAUAGCUAGAGUAAGGAAAGAGAAUAGAAGGUUAUGCUAAGAAAGAACUGUAGAUAAGACUUAGGGGCCCUGUGAGGGAAACAAACAGGCCUGCUGUAAUGGUUAAUGUAUGCUUUCCCGAGAUAAGAUCUGAUGAUUGUUAGAACAGACUCUGUUAAUCAUAAUCCUCCCAGGCUUGUGUGGUCCUUGUAAGUUUUAUCUAUAGUCUCUGCCCCACCACCCCUGACUUUUUGUCCACAAUCCUAAUAAAAGAUAGACCCUGAGUUUGCUUGGGCUAUGGCUUGCUGCAGCAUUAGCCCUCUCUGUGUCUCCUUCAAGCUGAUCUCCAGGCAUAGCCUAGGUUCUGAUUGUCACAGAUGA